rnacentral:rRNA from 1 species
AUUGAACGCUGGCGGCAGGCCUAACACAUGCAAGUCGAGCGGAGCGGCGGACGGGCGAGUAAUGCCUAGGAAUCUGCCUGGCCGUGGGGGAUAACGUCCGGCAACGGGCGCUAAUACCGCAUACUAUCAGAUGAGCCUAGUUCGGAUUGGUUAGCUGGUGGGGUAAAGGCCUACCAAGGCGACGAUCCGUAACUGGUCUGUGAGGAUGAUCAGUCACACGGGAACUGGGACACGGUCCAGACUCCUACGGGAGGCAGCAGUGGGGAAUAGUGGACAAUGGGCGGAAGCCUAAUCCAGCCAUGCCGCGUGUGUGAAGAAGGUCUUCGGAUUGUAAAGCACGUUAAGUUGGGAGGCGUUACCAACAGAAUAAGCACCGGCUAACUUCGUGCCAGCAGCCGCGGUAAUAC